UUGAUUCAUUCUGUAAUGAUUCCACUCAGACAUGCCACAAUGUGCGAAAUACAAGAGGUUUGGGGUCCCUCGGCGGGCGCCUGGAUCCGGGGCCGGGGCGAAGACCCGCCGAAGCAACGGUGUAAAGGUAUAGGUUCACAGUGGGUUUGGGAGUUGUAAACUCGGUAAUGAUCCCUCCGCUGGUUCACCAACGGAGA
rnacentral:misc_RNA from 1 species